AAUUUGUUAACCCAACACAGGCAUGCACUAAAGAAAGACAAAAAGCCGUAAAAGGAACUCGGCAACAACCUGUCCCAACUGUUUACCAAAAACAUAGCCUUUAGCUUUACAAGUAUUAAAGGUCCCGCCUGCCCAGUGACUUUUUAAACGGCCGCGGUAUCCUAACCGUGCAAAGGUAGCAUAAUCACUUGUCCCCUAAAUAGGGACUGGAAUGAAUGGCUAAAUGAGGACAAAACUGUCUCUUACGGACUAGCCAAUGAAAUUGAUCCUCCAGUACAAAAGCUGGAAUAAACACAUAAGACGAGAAGACCCUGUGGAGCUUAAAAACCAAAAGUAUCAAAUAUGCUUCCUGGAUUUUUAGUUGGGGCGACUUCGGAGCAAAAAAAACCCUCCAAAAUAUGAAUUUAUUUAUUAAGACUAACACACCAAAAAUAAUUUUUAUAGACCCAGCAGUUAUUCUACUGUCUGAUCAAUGAACCAAGUUACCCCAGGGAUAACAGCGCCAUCCUCUUCUAGAGUCCCUAUCGACAAGAGGGUUUACGACCUCGAUGUUGGAUCAGGACACCCCUAUAGUGCAGCCGCUAUAAAAGGUUCGUUUGUUCAACGAUUAAAGUCCUACGUGAUCUGAGUUCAGACCGGAGAAAUCCAGGUCGGUUUCUAUCUAUGCAGCACUAUUUUUAGUACGAAAGGACCAAAAUAGUGGGACCUAUACUAAAUAAACGUCCCAAAAUAAACUACUGACUUCUACUAAAGUAGUUAUUAUGCUUUUCUCCUAAAUCAAAAUCAGGUUUAUUAAGGUGGCAGAGUCAAGCAAUGCAAAAGACCUAAAAUCUUUCUACAGGGA